AAUCAACGCUGGCGGCGCGCUUAACACAUGCAAGUCGAGCGAGAAAGUGGAGCAAUCCAUGAGUAAAGCGGCGUACGGGUGAGUAACACGUGGGUCAUUUGCCUCUUAGUGGGGAAUAACCCUGGGAAACCGGGGCUAAUACCGCAUAAUCCUGUGAAGGGAAAGCAGCAAUGCGCUGAGAGAGAAGCCCGCGGCCGAUUAGCUAGUUGGUGAGGUAACGGCCCACCAAGGCGACGAUCGGUAGCCGGCCUGAGAGGGCACACGGCCACACUGGCACUGAAACACGGGCCAGACUCCUACGGGAGGCAGCAGUGGGGAAUCUUGCACAAUGGAGGAAACUCUGAUGCAGCGACGCCGCGUGAGCGAUGAAGCCCUUCGGGGUGUAAAGCUCUUUCGGCAGGGACGAUAAUGACGGUACCUGAAGAAGAAGCUGCGGCUAACUACGUGCCAGCAGCCGCGGUAACAC
rnacentral:rRNA from 1 species